CUCCAGCCUGGGAUGUGAAUCCUCCAUUGCCCAGCAUACCCAGGCUGCAUAUGCUACCCUAUCACUCAUUAGCAGACACCUUGGUUAUCAGAUCAACUGUCACAGGCCUUCCAUUUAAGGAACCUUUAUUUUACUUAAUAAUG